rnacentral:misc_RNA from 1 species
GAAAGAUUGGAGACAAUCAAGACGAUCAUCUCUACCAUUAUAAUUUGAUUUUAUGUAAGAUAAUAAAGAAAAUACUUGCAAUGAUUGAAUUAAUGGUUUCAUGUUCACACUAUUUUGGAACACGGUGCCACUAAUUUCCCUCAACUUAAUUUCAAAUGUAACAGAAAUAAAGAUCAACAACUCUACAAACAUCGGCAUAGCUUGCCGUCAUACAGAUGAUAUUUUGCCUAAUAACAUUUCAUUUCAAUUUCCUAUGUUUUUCUUCCUUUACAUCCUCAUUAGUUUCUUUCCAAAAGUUUUCACAAACCAAUCAUGUUUUCUUUUGAUGACCUCAUUCCCAGCAACCACUCCAACUAUCAAGCCACCUACAUAACCCAUCAACACUAUCAUCCAAUUAAAUUUAAAAAAAGAUCCAAAGCCCGAGUCUUCAUCUUCUGUGAAAGUGGAGGGAGUUGAUGUAAAAGUUUUAGAUCCACAUUUAUUCUCCAAAAAAGCUCCACACAAUCCUGAGUUCCCUUUAUAUGAGCUGCUAUCAAAUGUGUCAAAUUGUUUUCCUUGUGGUACAGGACCUGAAAGAUGGUUCCAAGACACAUUGAAAGAUGAGAGGUAAGUGAGUUGAGAUAAUUCCAUAGGUAACUGUCCUGAGAGCCGAUUGCUAGAAAGAUCCAAGCAUUCCAAUUCCUUCAUGUUUGCCAAAGAUGAUGGUAUAUGACCAGUAAGCAUAUUGUUGGAAAGGUUAAGCAAAUGAACUGCUUUAAGAUUUCCAAUGACAUUUGGAAUCGCCCCUUCAAAUGUAUUAGAUGAGAAAUCAAUAGCGGCCAAAGAGCUUGGAAUUUUCAAAUAUUCUAAUUCCAAGCCUUUGUUAUUUAUGGUUAUUGAGUAAUCAUAAUUGUCAUAUGAAGAAAAUGGAAAUGCGUUAGAUGUACUCAAUUCACCUAUAUAUGUCAUGUAGCUUGUGUUUAUAAUCUUCAUAGCAUCCCACAUCUCAAAGUAUGCAGUUGGCAGAUCUCCUGUGAAUUUAUUCUGAGAUAGGUCAAUGAUUUGAAGCGCAGAAAACUUACCGGUUCCAACUUUCCUUAAUGCACCAUAAAAGCCAUUGGAUCUCAAAAUGAGGACUCUCAACUCUGGAAGAUUUCCUAACCAAGAAGGGAAACUAUCAUUUAAUUGAUUUUCCCCAAAGUCGAUAAACUCUAACAUUGAACAAUUGGCCAAUGAUCGUGGUACUUGCCCUUGCAAUCUGUUGUGGCUUAAAUUAAUGAAUCUCAAAUUGCAUCCAUUUUUCCAUGCUGGGGAAAUACUUCCAUCAAUGUAAUUGGUGAACCACAGUGGAAAUGAGAGCAGUGAUCCUUCAAGGAUAUUAGACCGAAUAUCUAAAACAGUUAGAUGAGCCCAUUGAAGAACAACCGGACCUUCCUCAAAACCAGUUAAGAAGUUAUGAGAAAGGUUCAUAUACUGCAAUGAAUUUAUACUUAUGUUCCAUACCCAUGAAGGUAUUGGGCCUUGUAUUCGGUUUGAGGAAAGGUCUAGGAACCGCAACUCAUAUUGAUUGUACAAGAAACGGGGGAACUCACUAAGGUUGCAAAAAGCCAAUCCCAAAUUAGUAAAAUUAGGACUAAUGGCAUUUGUGUUGCUUUCUGUGAGCAACCAUAAGUUGUUGUAUGAUAACAUCAAUAUCUCUAAAUUUUUGAGCUGAAAGAAGAUAUUCACAUCCACAACACCAGAUAAAUUGUUUGAAUGGAAGUUGAGAGUUUGAAGAUUCUUGAGGUUAGAAAGAGUGCUUGGAAUGGAGCCCUGCAGUUUGUUUGAUGAAAGUUCUAACACCAUUAGUUCAGAAUGAUUGUUAGUUUGAGAAGGGAUUUGACCUGAUAAUUGAUUGGAGUUUAAACAUAAGCUUCCAAUAUUUGGUCCAUAAAUGAGGCACGAUGGUAUUUGACCAAUGAAAUGAUUAUGGUCUAAACAUAAAUCAACAAGAUUGGUCAGGUUCAGAAGCCAAGAAGGGAUUGGACCAGUAAGUUGAUUAUAGCCCAAAUCUAAAAAAGAAAGAUGAGUCGAGUUCAAGAGCGAAAAUGUGAAGUCACCAUUCAAUCCGACAUGAUAGAGAGAAAGAAAAUUGAGAUUGUACAGUUUACCGAUCCAAGACAAAGAAGUGGUUGGGGCCCUAAAAUUAUUAUUUGAGAGACCGAGAGAGGUAAGCUUGGUAAGGUUA